CCCAAACCUUACACACUGUGAUUAGUUUUUUUACUAUUUGCUUUGGCUG
rnacentral:rRNA from 1 species